CCCCUAGUAACUGCGAGUGAAGCGGGAAGAGCUCAAAUUUAAAAUCUGGCGGUCUCUGGCCGUCCGAGUUGUAAUCUAGAGAAGUGCUACCCGCGCUGGACCGUGUACAAGUCUCCUGGAAUGGAGCGUCAUAGAGGGUGAGAAUCCCGUCUCUGACACGGACUACCAGGGCUUUGUGGUACGCUCUCAAAGAGUCGAGUUGUUUGGGAAUGCAGCUCAAAAUGGGUGGUAAAUUCCAUCUAAAGCUAAAUAUUGGCGAGAGACCGAUAGCGAACAAGUACCGUGAGGGAAAGAUGAAAAGAACUUUGGAAAGAGAGUUAAACAGUACGUGAAAUUGCUGAAAGGGAAACGCUUGAAGUCAGUCGCGUUGGCCGGGGAUCAGCCUCGCUUUUGCGUGGUGUACUUUCUGGUUGACGGGUCAGCAUCAAUUUUGACCGCUGGAAAAAGGCUUGGGGAAUGUGGCAACUUCGGUUGUGUUAUAGCCCCUUGUCACAUACAGCGGUUGGGAUUGAGGAACUCAGCACGCCGCAAGGCCGGGUUUCGACCACGUUCGUGCUUAGGAUGCUGGCAUAAUGGCUUUAAGCGACCCGUCUUGAAACACGGACCAAGGAGUCUAACAUGCCUGCGAGUGUUUGGGUGGAAAACCCGAGCGCGUAAUGAAAGUGAAAGUUGAGAUCCCUGUCGUGGGGAGCAUCGACGCCCGGACCAGAACUUUUGGGACGGAUCCGCGGUAGAGCAUGUAUGUUGGGACCCGAAAGAUGGUGAACUAUGCCUGAAUAGGGUGAAGCCAGAGGAAACUCUGGUGGAGGCUCGUAGCGAUUCUGACGUGCAAAUCGAUCGUCAAAUU
rnacentral:rRNA from 1 species